CCUGCUUCUUCCUGACCCCGCCCAGGCCACGCAGCUGGGGAUAAGUGGGGGUUUCCUGUGCACCCCCUCCAGCUUCAGCCCUGCAGUCAAGUGGACCAGGCUAAUUAUCCCUGAGGCACGCGAGGAAGUGAUGAUCACUCAGGGAAGCGCAAACUGAAGAAAGAGUCCUCAGACAUUACCAGGACAGCGCUGAGGUAGAUAUGAGGGGAAACGCUGACAGAACGUCCUGUUCCGCUGGCCUUCGCGCUGUACCGCGCGCGGCUGUGCUUCACGUGUACUCUCACAUGUGUGUGUGUGUGUCCUAAUGAGCCACUGCCACGGGCAAGAAUUGUGGAGUCAAGAUUUCUUCUGCAGAUGGGCAAGGAGCACUACACCAGCCACUCUGACCUGGACAGGAAAAGAGCUUUCUGCUGACUGAAUCACCUCACGCAAAGGAAAGCCUGUUAACCUGUACAUUAUGCAUUUAGCAAAUAACUUUUAGGUCUCACUAGUUUUGACUUGUUAUGGUAGAAAGGACACAGCCCUUACAUUGAAGGUUACAUGUAUUUACUUACACUCUUAUCUUUACGUAGUGCUCACAGAAAGAGAAAACAGACUCUAGUUCAGAUGUAUAUUAUGCACUGUUAUACAGUCACAACAAAAUACAGGAGCCAUAAGCUAUACCCUGGCCCACAGACCCACUGGUGGACAACUUUGUUAGGGGUUUUAGUUCGCAACAUCUUGCAGUUAUCGAUUUUCGUGACAGUGAGCCACUCAUGAGACUGAUGGACAGCCAGAACGUGACAGCACCUUUCUGGGCUUGUGUUUACACAGGGCGGUUCUCUCCCCAAAUACCCCUCUGCACGACGGAUAACAACCUGCAUGGUUCACGAACGGAUCUACAUCGAUGUUGCCGUCCUGGCUGUAAUUUCCUGACCAGUCACCAUUCAUCCACUGUAUCCCCAUCAAAAGGUCUCUGGCCUACCACACCAGAUUAAAGGUUUUAUAAAAAAUGUGUUUUAUUUUCUGUAACACAAAUGCAGAGAGUGGAACCUAUCAUCCAUU